rnacentral:rRNA from 1 species
GAUGAACGCUGGCGGCGUGCCUAAUACAUGCAAGUCGAGCGAACAGACGAGGAGCUUGCUCCUCUGACGUUAGCGGCGGACGGGUGAGUAACACGUGGAUAACCUACCUAUAAGACUGGGAUAACUUCGGGAAACCGGAGCUAAUACCGGAUAAUAUAUUGAACCGCAUGGUUCAAUAGUGAAAGACGGUUUUGCUGUCACUUAUAGAUGGAUCCGCGCCGCAUUAGCUAGUUGGUAAGGUAACGGCUUACCAAGGCGACGAUGCGUAGCCGACCUGAGAGGGUGAACCGCCCACACUGAACCGGGAAAAGGUUCCAAAUCCUAAGGGGAGCAGCAAGAGGGAAUCCUCCGGCAUUGGCGGAAGCCCGGAGGGACAACGGCGGGGGAGGGGUGAAGGUCUUCCGGUCGUAAAACUCUGUUAUUAGGGAAGAACAAAUGUGUAAGUAACUAAGCACGGCUUGAAGGUAACUAAUCAGAAAGGCAAGGCUAACUACGUG